GAUGAACGCUAGCUACAGGCUUAACACAUGCAAGUCGAGGGGAAACGAUAGAGAAAGCUUGCUUUUUCUAGGCGUCGACCGGCGCACGGGUGAGUAACGCGUAUCCAACGUGCCCAUCACUUGGGGAUAACCUUGCGAAAGUAAGACUAAUACCCAAUGACGGCUCUAGAACACAGAGGAAAUAGACUAAAGAUUUAGCGGUGAUGGAUGGGGAUGCGCCUGAUUGGAUUGUUGGCGGGGUAACGGCCCACCAAGGCGACGAUCAGUAGGGGUUCUGAGAGGACGGUCCCCCACAUUGGAACUGAGACACGGUCCAAACUCCUACGGGAGGCAGCAGUGAGGAAUAUUGGUCAGUGGGCGAGAGCCUGAACCAGCCAAGUAGCGUGCAGGAUGACGGCCCUAUGGGUUGUAAACUGCUUUUAUAAGGGAAUAAAGUGAGUCUCGUGAGACUUUUUGCAUGUACCUUAUGAAUAAGGACCGGCUAAUUCCGUGCCAGCCGCCGCGUAA
rnacentral:rRNA from 1 species